rnacentral:rRNA from 1 species
AUGUAUGCUAUAAUGAAUAAUGAUAACCAUGAAACUUGUCAUCUUGAUUUUAAUUUUCAAUUGGAUUAUGCCUCACAUGAUAGUUAUUUUGUUGACUUUGCUCCCACUAUUACGAAUGAGAAGAAUUUUGCUAAUGUGGAGAGUAGUAAAAUUUCUAUGCUUGUGGAUCAUGAAAAGAAUGAUUUAUGUGAUGGCUAUAUUGUUGAAUUCAUUCAUGAUGCUACUGAAAAUUAUUAUGAGGGAGGAACAUAUGCUUCUACAUAUUGCAAAUAUCAAGUUUCCUCUCUAUGUGUUGAAAAUCUUGAAGUUAUGCUUACUUUACUUUCCUAUGCUAGUUGA